GACGUAGGGCGCGAGCGUUGUCCGGAUUUAUUGGGCGUAAAGAGCUCGUAGGCGGUCUGUCGCGUCGAAUGUGAAAACCCGGGGCUCAACUCCGGGCUUGCAUUCGAUACGGGCAGGCUAGAGUUCGGUAGGGGAGUCUGGAAUUCCUGGUGUAGCGGUGAAAUGCGCAGAUAUCAGGAGGAACACCGGUGGCGAAGGCGGGACUCUGGGCCGAUACUGACGCUGAGGAGCGAAAGCGUGGGGAGCGAACAGG
rnacentral:rRNA from 1 species